UCUCAAGGCUGAAUGCGCCUGUCUUACUCGUCUUUGUCCUCGCUCCUUCAGAGGGGGGAAAAAAAGAGAAGAACGGGUGACCAUUCAUUCUGGAUCUGCACCUGUUGAGUGGAGCGUACGUCUUUCCCGUUUUACGUCUUGAAUUUACAGCCCUCAGCUGGAGGGACGACCUUUCACUCCGCCUCUAUGGGAGAGCCACAGCAGCUGUGAUGACUUCACUGGCUCCUUGUGUAAAAAUACAUUGAGGAGAGGCUCUCUGUGCACCUUGAACCUGAUAGCAGCCUGAUUUGACACGGCGCUUCCAUCAGCUGUUAGCUUCUAUCUCAUUGAACCUUUUUCAAAGAAAUAAAAAAGGUUGCAUUCAUGUCUCCUUGUGCUUGUGUUGUGGUCUCAUUUGUAUCCAUUCAUUCGACUCAAAGAGGAGGCAGGAAGAGACCACUAAAAUGCCCCCACGCUUUCAGAUGUGUGGUCCAAGGCAACAGAAAAUGGACUAAUACUUUUUUUAUGAGGCUAGCAGCUGUGUGAAGAGAAACAUUAGCAACGCUGACUCAUUACAAAGAGUAGCUGAAAAGUCCCUGCCAAUUUAUUUCUGUUUUGGCAGUGAAAGAAGCAAUGUAGCACACUUCCACUGGAUAACAGCGUGUCAGUAUGAGAAGAAAUCUCAGCUUUGUAAAUGGAUGAUUUUAGGAAGUGCCCCAUUACCCGGCAGCUCCUCUUGCCUGCUGGCUUUCCUCUGGAGCAGCUGUCGGUCAGCGUGUCAGUGGGUAAUCUCUGAAAUACAGAUUGCUAAUGAGCCUGGAGCUCUUGAAGAAGGCCUGGCCCUGCACUCGGCAUCACACAGCGCUAAGUGAUGAGGUUGCCCUGCUGCAUCCGGAGGAUGAGGAAGGAUAGUUUGGGUCGUCUGAAGAUCACGGGUGGUGGUGGAGAGUGUUGCAGACCCUCAUGUAGUCCUAUGUCUUACUGCAGCUGUUGCACUCACAGAGGACCGAAGAUACUGAUCUGAAUGGGAAGGAUGCAAAGGUGGAAGCAGUGUUGGAUUCGGUUUCACUGCGUCUUAAUGGAACACACACACACACACACACACACACACACACACACACACACACACACACACACACAGAGACACACACACACAGGCUGCAUGGUUUUUUAAUACUAUCUACUUCCCCUUUCUUUGAGAGGACACAGAUACACCCUGAAUGGGCCCCUAUGCUGCUCUACAUUGUGGUUGGGAAGUACCUAGUGUUACAACUGUCAUGCUGGUCUGCUUAAAGGGACAGUACUGUCUUUUUUUUAAUACGCACUAUUACUCCUCUCAGGUCUUUUCAGUUACAGCAACACAGUUGGAUCUUUUAUUUUGUAGGCUUAAAUCUGAGGGAGCAAUUUGUCUGUGCAGAGUUUAGGAGUCUUAUUAUAUAUAUAUAGCAGAAUUUAUUGACACUAGUGCUCUGAACUUCACAUAAACUCACUUAAAAAAGAAAGUAAAUGAGGUGAACCUAUUGGGAUUUCUUCUCAUGCUCUUGUGAAAAAGAAAUAGAGAAGUAUUUCCAAAUUCUUGCAACGUGACAAAUCUAUAAUUGUUAGAGUCAUGAGAGUAAGUUGUUUAAACACAUACAGUAGAAGUGUACAGUAAGAGGAAUGGAAUUUGUUUUGCGUUAAUCUCUAAAAAAAACAUACUUUCAUAUACUUUGUGCACGUUUGUGUGGGCACGUUACGCUGUUGAAUGUUUUGAAAAUGCGGCACACUUGUCUGAAUAAAAAUUUUUUCAGUCUGGCA